GCGGGUGUAGUUCAAUGGUAGAACCCCAGCCUUCCAAGCUGAUUACGUGGGUUCGAUUCCCAUCACCCGCU
rfam:Eggerthia catenaformis OT 569 = DSM 20559 genomic scaffold acdBZ-supercont1.4, whole genome shotgun sequence.